UACAGAGGUCUCAAGCGUUGUUCGGAUUCAUUGGGCGUAAAGGGUGCGUAGGUGGCGCUGUAAGUCGGGUGUGAAAUUUCGGAGCUUAACUCCGAAACUGCAUUCGAUACUGCGGUGCUUGAGGACUGGAGAGGAGACUGGAAUUUACGGUGUAGCGGUGAAAUGCGUAGAGAUCAGGAAGAACACCGGUGGCGAAAGCGUUCUGCUAGACCUGUACUGACACUGAGGGACGAAAGCUAGGGGAGCGAAUGGG
rnacentral:rRNA from 1 species